rnacentral:rRNA from 1 species
UACGGGGGGGGCAAGCGUUGUUCGGAAUUACUGGGCGUAAAGGGCUCGUAGGCGGCCAACUAAGUCGGACGUGAAAUCCCUCGGCCCAACCGGGGAACUGCGUCCGAUACUGGAUGGCUUGAGUUCGGGAGAGGGAUGCGGAAUUCCAGGUGUAGCGGUGAAAUGCGUAGAUAUCUGGAGGAACACCGGUGGCGAAGGCGGCAUCCUGGACCGACACUGACGCUGAGGAGCGAAAGCCAGGGGAGCAAACGGG